AUGGACCAUAUGAAGUCUGGUUUCGAUCCGAAUAAUAUUUGGAGAAAGUUCCGAUAUGAAGCCGUCCCUUGUGAGCAACAGACUGGAAUCUUUGAUUGUGGUCUUUUCGUUCCUUUAUAUAUAAAGGCUAUAAUUCAUGGGGUAGAUACCACUCAAGUAACUAAUCACUCUGACGAGUCUGAAGUCAUCCGUGCCAGGCUUGCAGCUGAACUCCUAAUAGAAGGAUGGGAACAGAAAAAUCAAGGGGAGACAGUGGAAAAGGAUGGGUGAUUGAUAUCCUAAAAAGUGUUGUGUACGAACAGAUUGAAUUGGGAACAAAACUAACUGGCAUUUUAAUUUAGUUAACAUUAUUGCAGCUUUGUAUCAUUCUCUUUGACAGUUAUUCUACUGUUUGUGUAACUGGUUGAUAGUGUGGAUGAGAAGAUCCACAUAUCUGGUUGUGAAACUGGUUGCUAUUGUAAUCAUUGCUAAUAACAGGUUGAAGUGCAUCACAGUUCA